UACGUAGGGACCAAGCGUUGUCCGGAAUCACUGGGCGUAAAGCGCACGUAGGCGGAUUGUUAAGUCAGGGGUGAAAUCCUGGAGCUCAACUCCAGAACUGCCUUUGAUACUGGCGAUCUCGAGUCCGGGAGAGGUGAGUGGAACUGCGAGUGUAGAGGUGAAAUUCGUAGAUAUUCGCAAGAACACCAGUGGCGAAGGCGGCUCACCUGGCCCGGUACUGACGCUGAGGUGCGAAAGCGUGGGGAGCAAACAGG
rnacentral:rRNA from 1 species